GGUCACGGUGCUCGGGUGAGGACGUUUCCUCAGACCGCCGUCUCUGGGCCGAGGUGCCGGCUGAACGAGGAGAGCCGUCCACUACCUUUCAGACGAGGGUACCCUAGAAGCUUCGUCUUCAACGUCCUGCCACGAUUGCAGCGGUCCAGACCGGGACAAAGGCCGACGGAGGGGCACGAGCUGCGCUGCGUCCACCGGCCGGGUCAGUCGACAUAGUGGGUGGUCCAACAGUGUGUGGACGGUACUGAGCUCUGUCCACCGGAGCCGACCACGGCGGAGGCGGCGAAUAUCAGAUGGAGAUGACAGAUGUGCGUGAAGACCUGGCCGCCCUUCGCCGGGAGGUGGCCUCCCUUCGCGAGGAGGUGGCCAAAGUCCAGGGGGAGAACGCCGCACCACACGGUGCGGUGGUCCUCCUGGAGCAAGCACUGGUUGAAGAGCGGACCACUCGCCAGACCGUGGUGGAGGAUCGCUACGGUUUGGCGUGUGGCGUGGUUCUACUCGGUUUGGCGUGUUUCUACUGCGUCCGCCGGCGAGCGGCGCCAUCCGGCCGUCCCCAGGGUAAAAUUACAAAAGCGUUUCAUGACGUCAUAGUACAGACGGAGCCCCAGCCAUCGG